rnacentral:lncRNA from 9 species
AUGCGAGAAAGCCAACCUGCUGGCUCAGAGUUGCCCAGCCUCCAGCUGUUGGGCCCACAACCGGCGCGAGGAAGUUCCCUUGCCUUCGCACUUGGCCCAGCAACCCAGCCAUUGUCAGAGGACCUGUUAGAAAUUGAAUGGACCACUCCGAAUCACGCUCCUGCCACCUGCCACUUCGGAAGACUGCCUAACCGCCUUGGACCGUCUGGGCCAGCCAGGGAAGGGCCUGAGCUUGUCACAUCCCCCCCAGGGUCACCGAUUUGGAUAGCUUCCAGGGUUCACGUGCCUAGCAGCCAAAAUGACACUUCUGCCCCAGCAGCCUGUUUUCCACAUGCUUCCUUUCUGUUCUGAAACCAAAGCAAACUCACAGAUGAAUGAGACCAAAUGUAUUUCCCCCAGACCAAAAUUGUGAGAAAAAAGUAAUAAAUGCAUAUUCUGAUAUCUGGUAAACUAAUACUUUCAUGUGUACAGAUUGGCGUAUUUGAGCCUUAUUUUACGGCCUUUUUUACUUUCUAUCCCAUAGUUUGAAAACGUAUGCAUGGGUUCGAUCCCUGGCCUCCCUCAGUGGGUUAAGGAUUUGGCGUUGCCGAGAGACGUGGUGUAGGUUGCAGACGCAGCUGGGAUCUGGCGUUGCUGUGACUGUGGUGUAGGCCUGCAGCUGUAGCUCCUAUUAGACCCCUAAGUCUGGGAACCUCCAUAUGCCACGGGUGCGGCCCUUAAAAAAAAAAAAAGACAAAAAACCCAAAAACAAAAAACACAUGCAGCUUACCAAGGAGGCUUUGUAAAACCCAACUUGAGCAAUUUUUAUGUUUGCUGCUGAAUCUGGCGAAUAUGGUAUAUUUUUAAAGAUACAUGUAAGAAAGAAGGGGGAGUGGCACAUUCCUUGAGCUAUAUCUACUUACCUUUAUUCCCCUGUGUUGAAUGACUUCACUGCCUCCUUUUUUGUAAAUUACUUUUUUGAUCUCAGUUUUUCCCCUGUAAUUAAAGGCAUUUCUUGAUCAUUUAUAAUUUGAGAAUUCAUGUCUGGGUUUUGUCAUUCUGGUGGUCAAUAUAGUCUCAAUAAAAUAACUUCCAGGUUAGACAGCUUCAUAUUAAGAAAAAAUCACUGUCCCCUUUGGUGGACAGUGUACAUACCUGAGAACCAUAGUGAAAACCCUUAAAUUAUAUUUUUGCACAGUUUGAUUAAAGUCAGGUUAUAGCAAUUAUUUUGUCACUACACAUUAGCAUUAUAGGAGUUUGUAAGGAGACCCGGCAACUCAAAAUUAUCUCAUAUUUAACUGCUUCUUUUGCAGUACAGAUGUACUGACAAGAUAAAUUGAGUCUUGGGCCUAUUGACUGUUAAUUUCAAAUCAGUGUUUUUCCCAUAGUGGAAAAACCUGCGGGCUAUAGCACCAAAAAAAUUUCAGUAAACCUCAUAAGAGCACGUGUUUGAUAGGAUGCAAAAUAUUUCUAAUGAAAGAUCAGCAUUGACAUUUAAAAAGUCAAAUAGUGUGAAAAAAAAAUGUAACUCAGAAGUCAAAAUAUCUCAUUCUUAAUUUCUUUUUCUUUUUUGCUCUUUAGUGCUGAACCUGCAGCAUAUGGAGGUUCCCAGGCUAGAAGCUGGAUCAGAGCUGCAGAUGCCAGCCUACACCACAGCAACAGGGCAUCCAAGCCGCAUCUGUGACCUAUACCACAGCUCACAGCAAUGCUGGAUCCUUAACCCACUGAGUGAGGCCAGGGAUCCAUCCCGUAUCCUUACGGAUAGUAGUCAGAUUCACUUUGACUGCACCACAAUGGGAAUGACUCUCAUACUUAAUUAAUUUUCUAUAUAUAGCUAUAUAUAGCCAUCUUUUUUUAUAAAGUACAUUUUAUAUCUCCAAAAAAAUAAAAAAACAUGAAAGAAUACAAGGCUUGCUUCCAGAUACACAGACAGGAGGGUGAGAAGGUCACUAAUCGGUGACCUCCUCAUCAGAUUUUUCCACUCACCUCUAAAAUAAGGUCAUAUCAGAAUGAUUAGCUCAUUGUUUUCUUUAGGCCCCUGCUUAAUGGUCUCUGGGGAAUGGUUCCUCAGCUGGUCCUUUAUCAGGUUCACCUGCAAGGCCAACUGUCCACUGGGGCCUUCCAGACCUGAAUUUCCUCCUCUGUCAGAUUGGAUCUCUCUUCUGUGUGGGCCUUCCAUUUCAAUUCUUAGUUUGUAAUCCUCGAUACAGUUCUUCAGCCAUUCUUCAUCAUGAGAUAGCCUUCAGUCACCUCCUACUGCUCAAAUCCCUUGAAAAGUUCAGAAAUAGGGAUCAGGGAAUUUGUGUCAGUAGUAAGUUUUUUCUUUCUGACCUUCUAGAUUUCAGCUUUAGCAAGUUCCUGUUUCUGCACCUUCUGGGGUACAGUCCCUAAAAAUCUAAUCAUAAUUUUCCCCUUCUCCGAGCAGUUUGUAUUUGCUUUCCAAUUUCAUUUUUCCCAUUUGCAUGGCUUUGACUGCCACAUCCUGGGUAAACUGGACAGAAACAGGUCUGUGGCCCAGGAACUCAAGGGGGAGAGGCCAUCACAGGAACACCCAGAGCUCCUAAGAAAGCAAAUGCCCCCAGCCUCACUUCAGGCCUUCAUCAGGGAAGCUUGGCAUCAUGAAUGCUCCUUGUCUCAGUGGCAGACAGAGUUUAUCAGGGUCAAAUUUGAGGUCUAAAGGACUUUUUUCAAAGCAGACUCUUUGGACGAGGACAUUCCACACUACUCCAAACACCAUGUCAGCCCUUGUG